GAUGAAGAACGUAGUGAAAUGCGAUACGUAAUGUGAAUUGCAGAAUUCAGUGAAUCAUCGAAUCUUUGAACGCAUAUUGCGCUCUCUGGUAUUCCGGAGAGCAUGCUUGUUUGAGUAUCAGUAAACACCUCAACUUCCAUAUCUUUUUUGAAAUGGGAGUUGGACUUGAGUGAUCCCAACGCUUUUCCUCACCGAAAAGUGGCGGGUUACUUGAAAUGCAGGUGCAGCUGGACUUUUCUCUGAGCUAUAAGCAUAUCUAUUUAGUCUGCCUAAAAAACAGAUUAUUACCUUUGCUGCAGCUAACAUAAAGGAGAUUAGUUCUUGUGCUGACUGAUGCAGGAUUCACAAAAACGGCUUCGGCCGACUUUGUAAACUCGAUCUCAAAUCAAGUAAGACUACCCGCUGAACUUAAGCAUAUCAAUAAGCGGAGGA
rnacentral:misc_RNA from 1 species